rnacentral:rRNA from 1 species
CAGUCAUAUGCUUGUCUCAAAGAUUAAGCCAUGCAUGUCUAAGUGCACGCCUUUAUACGGUGAAACCGCGAAUGGCUCAUUAAAUCAGCUAUGGUUUACUGGAUCGUACCCGUUAAAUGGAUAACUGUAAUAACUCUAGAGCUAAUACAUGCCACGAAGCCCUGACCCGCAAGGGAAUGGGUGCACUUAUUAGAUCAGAAGCCAACCGGGCAUCGGUCGCAAGGCUGGUGUCUGUUGUCGUUCUGGUGACUCUGGAUAAUUGUUACAGAUCGCAGUCGGCCUUGAGUCGGCGACGGGUCCUUCAAAUGUCUGCCCUAUCAACUUUCGAUGGUAGGUGAUCUGCCUACCAUGGUGAUAACGGGUAACGGGGAAUCAGGGUUCGAUUCCGGAGAGGGAGCCUGAGAAACGGCUACCACUUCCAAGGGAGGCAGCAGGCGCGCAAAUUACCCACUCCCAGUACGGGGAGGUGGUGACGAAAAAUACCGAUGCGGGACUCCCAAACGAGGCUCCGUAAUCGGAAUGGGUGAACUAUAAAUCCUUUCACGAGGAUCAAUUGGAGGGCAAGUCUGGUGCCAGCAGCCGCGGUAACUCCAGCUCCAAUAGCGUAUAUUAAAGUUGCUGCAGUUAAAAAGCUCGUAGUUGGAUCUCGGUAUCAUUGUUGCCUGCCAGUCCUUGAGGCGUCAGCUUAUCGGUGCACGGGUGCGCCUGUGUUGCCAUAAGUUGGCUGCUUCAAGUUGGUGUGGUGGCGGUGUCACCUUUUAGCCAUGUCUGUGGUGAAAUACCCACAGGUGUAGGCGAGUGCCAGGCGGUGCCUUACAACUGUAGGGUCCGUCGGCUCGUCUGCAUGCCUUUGGAUGCCCUUUAAAAGGUGUCUGUGGGCAGAUGGCACGUUUACUUUGAACAAAUUUGAGUGCUCAAACCAGGCCGAUGUUGCCUGAAAAGUUUUGCAUGGAAUAAUGGAAUAGGACUUCGGUUCUAUUUCGUUGGUUUUCGGAUCCGAAGUAAUGAUCAAUAGAGACAGGCGGGGACGUUUGUAUGGUUGCGCUAGAGGUGAAAUUCUUGGACCGUAGCCAGACAAACUAAAGCGAAAGCAUUCGUCAAGCAUGUUUUCAUUGGCCAUGAGCGAAAGUCAGAGGCUCGAAGACGAUCAGAUACCGUCCUAGUUCUGACCAUAAACGAUGCCAACUGACGAUCCGUGGUGGUAGUCUAUAAACCUUCCUCACGGGCAGUCCCCGGGAAACCAUUAAGUCUAUGGGUUCCGGGGGAAGUAUGGUUGCAAAGCUGAAACUUAAAGGAAUUGACGGAAGGGCACCACCAGGAGUGGAGCCUGCGGCUUAAUUUGACUCAACACGGGAAAACUCACCCGGCCCGGACACUAUGAGGAUUGACAGAUUGAAAGCUCUUUCUUGAUUUGGUGGUUGGUGGUGCAUGGCCGUUCUUAGUUGGUGGAGCGAUUUGUCUGGUUAAUUCCGAUAACGAACGAGACUCCAGCCUGCUAAUUAGUGCAUCUGUCCACUGUUCCUGUGUAUGUGGGCGUUCGAAGUUGUGCUAAACAUGGCUUGUGUAGACGGCGCCUGGUUCUACGUGGGUGACUUUCGAAAGUUUGGCAUUCACUGUCCUACUGAGGUUGUCGACUAUGCGGGUUCUAGUGCAGAUUCAAGCGUUCGCCUCCGGGUACGGCGCGGGUGUUUACUUCUUAGAGGGACAAGCGGGAGAAGCCGCACGAAAUUGAGCAAUAACAGGUCUGUGAUGCCCUUAGAUGUCCGGGGCCGCACGCGCGCUACAAUGACGGUGGCAACGAGUCUGACCUUCUGGCCCGAAAGGGUUGGGCAAACUGGUCAAUCACCGUCAUGACAGGGAUCGGGGCUUGGAAUUGUUCCCCGUGAACGAGGAAUUCCUAGUAAGUGCAAGUCAUAAGCUUGCGCUGAUUACGUCCCUGCCCUUUGUACACACCGCCCGUCGCUACUACCGAUUGAAUGGUUUAGUAAGGUCCUUGGAUUGGCGCCAUUGCAGCCGAAAGGCUCAGGCGGUGCUGAGAAGACGACCAAACUUGAUCAUUUAGAGGAAGUAAAAGUCGUAACAAGGUUUCC